ACUCCUGCGGGAGGCAGCAGUGGGGAAUAUUGCACAAUGGGCGCAAGCCUGAUGCAGCCAUGCCGCGUGUAUGAAGAAGGCCUUCGGGUUGUAAAGUACUUUCAGCGGGGAGGAAGGCAAUACGGUUAAUAACCGUGUUGAUUGACGUUACCCGCAGAAGAAGCACCGGCUAACUCCGUGCCAGCAGCCGCGGUAAAACGGAGGGUGCAAGCGUUAAUCGGAAUUACUGGGCGUAAAGCGCACGCAGGCGGUCUGUCAAGUCGGAUGUGGAAUCCCCGGGCUCAACCUGGGAACUGCAUUCGAAACUGGCAGGCUUGAGUCUUGUAGAGGGGGGUAGAAUUCCAGGUGUAGCGGUGAAAUGCGUAGAGAUCUGGAGGAAUACCGGUGGCGAAGGCGGCCCCCUGGACAAAGACUGACGCUCAGGUGCGAAAGCGUGGGGAGCAAACAGGAUUAGAAACCCGGGUAGUCCCAUGAU
rnacentral:rRNA from 1 species